rnacentral:rRNA from 1 species
AUGAAGAUUUUUCACAAGUUAUACCUUGUUGCAGCAGCAGAUCAUCUGCUUCACUCCAAGAGUGAAAGCAAGGAGGGCAUGCUCACGUGUCUGGCCGUCCUUGGAGAUACCAGCCUCAAAACCACCAGUGGUGGAGUCGAUGAUGAGAACAGCACAGUCAUACUUGGUGGUCUCAAACUUCCAGAGAGCAAUAUCGAUGGUGAUACCUCUCUCACGCUCGGCCUUGAGCUUGUCAAGCACCCACGCGUACUUGAAAGACCUCUUGUUCAUCUCAGCGGCUUCCUUCUCGAACCUCUCGAUGACACGCUUGUCAAUGCCUCCAAGCUUGUAGAUCAGGUGGCCAGUGGUCGUCGACUUGCCAGAGUCGACGUGGCCAAUGACCACGAUGUUGAUGUGAGUCUUCUCCUUACCCAUGGCUGGUGGGUAGAGCUAAACUACCCAACUGCGACACAUAAAAAAAUUAUUAAAACCAACGGACGCAGGGAAUCAUCAUGUGAACAAGUGACAUAA